GUGAUCAUGCGUACCAGCACUAUAGUACCGGAUCCUCUCUGAACUCCAAAGUCAUGCAUGAUUGGACGAGAGUAGUAUGAGAAUGGGUGUUUGCCAAAAUAACUUGCUAUUCUCC
rfam:Triticum urartu cultivar G1812 contig1160107, whole genome shotgun sequence.